rnacentral:lncRNA from 1 species
UGCACAAAGGGAAGAUUUAGCUACCUCAUGAACAACCACUCCCCCAUCUUCGGAAUCUAAGAGUCGUACUCCUAGAUUUGCAAGUCGGUGAAUAUCCUUCACCAUCUCCCUCUUUCCUUUUUCAACAUGAGAAAGACUGCCCAUAGACAAUAUGCUGAGGGUGUCGGCUACCACAUUUGCCUUGCCCGGAUGGUAGUGCAGGCUCAUGUCAUAAUCCUUUAAAAGCUCCAACCAACGCC